AUUGAACGCUGGUGGCAGGCUUAACACAUGCAAGUCGAGCGGGGUGAUGGUGCUUGCACUAUCACUUAGCGGCGGACGGGUGAGUAAUGCUUAGGAAUCUGCCUAUUAGUGGGGGACAACAUCUCGAAAGGGAUGCUAAUACCGCAUACGUCCUACGGGAGAAAGCAGGGGAUCUUUAUGACCUUGCGCUAAUAGAUGAGCCUAAGUCGGAUUAGCUAGUUGGUGGGGUAAAGGCCUACCAAGGCGACGAUCUGUAGCGGGUCUGAGAGGAUGAUCCGCCCCACUGGGACUGAGACACGGCCCAGACUCCUACGGGAGGCAGCAGUGGGGAAUAUUGGACAAUGGGGGGAACCCUGAUCCAGCCAUGCCGCGUGUGUGAAGAAGGCCUUAUGGUUGUAAAGCACUUUAAGCGAGGAGGAGGCUCUUUUGGUUAAUACCCAGAAUGAGUGGACGUUACUCGCAGAAUAAGCACCGGCUAACUCUGUGCCAGCCGCCGCCGUAACAC
rnacentral:rRNA from 1 species